rnacentral:rRNA from 1 species
UUAAGCGACUAAGCGUACACGGUGGAUGCCCUGGCAGUCAGAGGCGAUGAAGGACGUGCUAAUCUGCGAAAAGCGUCGGUAAGGUGAUAUGAACCGUUAUAACCGGCGAUGUCCGAAUGGGGAAACCCAGUGCAAUUCGUUGCACUAUCGUUAACUGAAUACAUAGGUUAACGAGGCGAACCGGGGGAACUGAAACAUCUAAGUACCCCGAGGAAAAGAAAUCAACCGAGAUUCCCCCAGUAGCGGCGAGCGAACGGGGAGCAGCCCAGAGUCUGAAUCAGCUUGUGUGUUAGUGGAACGGUCUGGAAAGUCCGACGGUACAGGGUGAUAGUCCCGUACACCAAAAUGCACAGGCUGUGAACUCGAAGAGUAGGGCGGGACACGUGGUAUCCUGUCUGAAUAUGGGGGGACCAUCCUCCAAGGCUAAAUACUCCUGACUGACCGAUAGUGAACCAGUACCGUGAGGGAAAGGCGAAAAGAACCCCGGCGAGGGGAGUGAAAAAGAACCUGAAACCGUGUACGUACAAGCAGUGGGAGCACCUUCGGGUGUGACUGCGUACCUUUUGUAUAAUGGGUCAGCGACUUAUAUUCUGUAGCAAGGUUAACCGUAUAGGGGAGCCGAAGGGAAACCGAGUCUUAACUGGGCGUUAAGUUGCAGGGUAUAGACCCGAAACCCGGUGAUCUAGCCAUGGGCAGGUUGAAGGUUGGGUAACACUAACUGGAGGACCGAACCGACUAAUGUUGAAAAAUUAGCGGAUGACUUGUGGCUGGGGGUGAAAGGCCAAUCAAACCGGGAGAUAGCUGGUUCUCCCCGAAAGCUAUUUAGGUAGCGCCUCGUGAAUUCAUCUUCGGGGGUAGAGCACUGUUUCGGCUAGGGGGUCAUCCCGACUUACCAACCCGAUGCAAACUACGAAUACCGAAGAAUGUUAUCACGGGAGACACACGGCGGGUGCUAACGUCCGUCGUGAAGAGGGAAACAACCCAGACCGCCAGCUAAGGUCCCAAAGUCAUGGUUAAGUGGGAAACGAUGUGGGAAGGCACAGACAGCCAGGAUGUUGGCUUAGAAGCAGCCAUCAUUUAAAGAAAGCGUAAUAGCUCACUGGUCGAGUCGGCCUGCGCGGAAGAUGUAACGGGGCUAAACCAUGCACCGAAGCUGCGGCAGCGACGCUUAUGCGUUGUUGGGUAGGGGAGCGUUCUGUAAGCCUGUGAAGGUGUGCUGUGAGGCAUGCUGGAGGUAUCAGAAGUGCGAAUGCUGACAUAAGUAACGAUAAAGCGGGUGAAAAGCCCGCUCGCCGGAAGACCAAGGGUUCCUGUCCAACGUUAAUCGGGGCAGGGUGAGUCGACCCCUAAGGCGAGGCCGAAAGGCGUAGUCGAUGGGAAACAGGUUAAUAUUCCUGUACUUGGUGUUACUGCGAAGGGGGGACGGAGAAGGCUAUGUUAGCCGGGCGACGGUUGUCCCGGUUUAAGCAUGUAGGCUGGUUGUCCAGGCAAAUCCGGAUAAUCAAGGCUGAGGUGUGAUGACGAGGCACUACGGUGCUGAAGUAACAAAUGCCCUGCUUCCAGGAAAAGCCUCUAAGCAUCAGGUAACAUCAAAUCGUACCCCAAACCGACACAGGUGGUCAGGUAGAGAAUACCAAGGCGCUUGAGAGAACUCGGGUGAAGGAACUAGGCAAAAUGGUGCCGUAACUUCGGGAGAAGGCACGCUGAUAUGUAGGUGAAGUCCCUCGCGGAUGGAGCUGAAAUCAGUCGAAGAUACCAGCUGGCUGCAACUGUUUAUUAAAAACACAGCACUGUGCAAACACGAAAGUGGACGUAUACGGUGUGACGCCUGCCCGGUGCCGGAAGGUUAAUUGAUGGGGUUAGCGGCAACGCGAAGCUCUUGAUCGAAGCCCCGGUAAACGGCGGCCGUAACUAUAACGGUCCUAAGGUAGCGAAAUUCCUUGUCGGGUAAGUUCCGACCUGCACGAAUGGCGUAAUGAUGGCCAGGCUGUCUCCACCCGAGACUCAGUGAAAUUGAACUCGCUGUGAAGAUGCAGUGUACCCGCGGCAAGACGGAAAGACCCCGUGAACCUUUACUAUAGCUUGACACUGAACAUUGAGCCUUGAUGUGUAGGAUAGGUGGGAGGCUUUGAAGCGUGGACGCCAGUCUGCGUGGAGCCAACCUUGAAAUACCACCCUUUAAUGUUUGAUGUUCUAACGUUGGCCCCUUACCGGGGUUGCGGACAGUGUCUGGUGGGUAGUUUGACUGGGGCGGUCUCCUCCCAAAGCGUAACGGAGGAGCACGAAGGUUAGCUAAUCCUGGUCGGACAUCAGGAGGUUAGUGCAAUGGCAUAAGCUAGCUUGACUGCGAGCGUGACGGCGCGAGCAGGUGCGAAAGCAGGUCAUAGUGAUC